CCUACGAGAUGCAGCAGUGAGGAAUAUUGGUCAAUGGACGCAAGUCUGAACCAGCCAAGUAGCGUGCAGGAUGACGGCCCUCCGGGUUGUAAACUGCUUUUAGUUGGGAAUAAAAGGGGGCUCGUGAGCCCCGUAUUGUAUGUACCAUCAGCAAAAGGACCGGCUAAUUCCGAGCAAGCAGCCGGGGUAAUACGGAAGGACCGUGCGUUAUCCGGAUUUAUUGGGUUUAAAGGGAGCGUAGGCGGGCUUUUAAGUCAGCUGUGAAAGUCCGCGGCUCAACCGUGGAAUUGCAGUUGAAACCGGAGGCCUUGAGGGCACACAGGGAUGACGGAAUUCAUGGUGUAGCGGUGAAAUGCUUAGAUAUCAUGAAGAACUCCGAGCGCGAAGGCAAGUGUCCGGGGUGCAACUGACGCUGAGGCUCGAAAGUGCGGGUAUCAAACAGGAUUAGAUACCCGAGUAGUC
rnacentral:rRNA from 1 species